rnacentral:rRNA from 1 species
GAUGAACGCUGGCGGCGUGCCUAAUACAUGCAAGUCGAGCGAACGGACGAGAAGCUUGCUUCUCUGAUGUUAGCGGCGGACGGGUGAGUAACACGUGGAUAACCUACCUAUAAGACUUGGAUAACUUCGGGAAACCGGAGCUAAUACCGGAUAAUAUUUUGAACCGCAUGGUUCAAAAGUGAAAGACGGUCUUGCUGUCACUUAUAGAUGGAUCCGCGCUGCAUUAGCUAGUUGGUAAGGUAACGGCUUACCAAGGCAACGAUGCAUAGCCGACCUGAGAGGGUGAUCGGCCACCCUGGAAGUGAGACACGGUCCAGACUCCUACGGGAGGCAGCAGUAGGGAAUCUUCCGCAAUGGGCGAAAGCCUGACAGAGCAACGCCGCGUGAGUGAUGAAGGUCUUCGGAUCGUAAAACUCUGUUAUUAGGGAAGAACAUAUGUGUAAGUAACUGUGCACAUCUUGACGGUACCUAAUCAGAAAGCCACGGCUAACUACGUG